rnacentral:rRNA from 1 species
UACGUAGGGUGCAAGCGUUAAUCGGAAUUACUGGGCUUAAAGGGUUUGUAGGCGGCUUUGUAAGUCAGGUGUGAAAGCCCUCGGCUCAACCGAGGAACAGCGCUUGAUACUGCAAGGCUUGAGGGAGACAGGGGUAGGCGGAACUGAUGGUGGAGCGGUGAAAUGCGUUGAUAUCAUCAGGAACACCGGUGGCGAAAGCGGCUUACUGGGUCUCUUCUGACGCUGAGGAACGAAAGCUAGGGUAGCGAACGGGAUUAG